rnacentral:misc_RNA from 1 species
GUUUGAGUAGGACCAACAACUUCCUUAAUGCAUAUGCUCAGGGCUAUAAUAUGAGCUCAGUUGGAGGUUUUGGAAUGAGGAUGGAUAGUAGGUUUAGUCCUCUUGCCAGUGGUCGAAGUGGAUUUCCUCCAUUUGGUACUACUGGUUAUGGAAUGGGUAUGAAUUUAGAGCCAGGUUUGAGUCCAAACUAUGGUGGGGGCUCUAAUUUUGGCAACAGUCCAGGGUAUGGGCGAAUGUUAAGCCCCUAUUACAGUGGGAAUUCAACCAGGUAUAGUACUCCAAUAGGAUAUGGUGUGGGGAAUGCAAGGAAUGAUUCUGUUAUGAGCCCAACUACUCGGAAUCCCUGGGGAAAUGGGGGUCUUAAUACUGCUGCUAAUCCUGCCAGCCCUGGUGCUUUCUUGGGUUCUGGGAGUGGAAGUUUUGGGGUUUCAUUUGGGAAUAGUGGAGUCAAUUGGGGCCCUUCUCAUGUUUCAGCUCAAGGUGGAGGAAGUGCUUCUGGUUAUACCAGUGGAAGCAUGGGUUAUGGAAGUGGUGGUGAUAGCAGCUACGGGUUGGGAGGGGGAGGGUAUGGAAGGACAAGUGGCACUGGUGCAGCACCAACUUCAUCAUUUGCUGGGUCAACUGGUGUUUAUGAAGGGUCCUAUGGGGACUUGUACCGCAGUGGUUCAGUUUAUGGUGAUUCAUCUUGGCGGUCUGGCAGUGGCACUCCUGAGCUAGAUGGUACUGGGUCAUUUGGUUAUGGGCUUGGCAAUAUAGCCUCAGAUGUUACUACCAAAAAUUCUGAGGGUUAUAUUGGAAGUUAUGGUGUUACAAGUAGACAAUCUAAUAGAGGAAUUGCUACCUAGGAGAUCUGUUAUUGGAUGUCACAGGAUAAUUGUAGGUGAAGGGAAUCUGGAUAAACAGGUGAAGGGUUGUGAAUUUCAUACAUCUCUUUCCUGAAUAUAUUCAGCUUAUAAGGAAAUUGAUCUAUAGUGCUAACGAGGGUUCUUGAUUUGAAUUAUACACAAUCAGAGUGAAAGCAGUUACAAGGAUUUUGUGUAAGGUUUGAGAUUUGAAUUUCCCUUUUUUUUUUUUCGUUGCUUCUUUUAAUUAGUGAAAAACUUAGGUUCCUUUCUUGGUAUUUGAGUGAGGUGUAAAAUAAGAUUGCGGGAUAUAUACUCAGGAAGAUUGGUUCCCAUAGAUGUGUUGUGCAUCUUCAGCGAGGCACGCCAAUGGUAUUACACUUAAAAAUUGGGGUAUUAGAUUUUUAUAUAUAUAUUUUUUUCUUUUUGAGUAAUGCCUGGAGAAGGUGCUGGUUGGUGUCCGUAUAUUUUCUUCUUUAUUUGGGAUUUGUCUGUCUACCAAGAUUGUAUGCAAGGUUCUGUUUGAUCUAUCAGUGUGAAACAUUAUAAGGGAUUCUCUUCAUGUUCCCCUGCAAAUAAGUUACAGAUAUUCUGAUUAACAAGAAACAAGCUAAUCCAAAUAUCGCCAACAACAAUCGCGAAUGAAGUCUUAACAUUCAUCUAGUUAAUUGUAAUACACUGUCAGAAUAAAAAAUGAAUCAGAA